GACAGAGGGUGCAAACGUUGUUCGGAAUUACUGGGCGUAAAGGGCUCGUAGGCGGCCAACUAAGUCGGAUGUGAAAUCCCCAGGCUUAACCUGGGAACUGCAUCCGAUACUGGAUGGCUUGAAUUCGGGAGAGGGAUGCAGAAUUCCAGGUGUAGCGGUGAAAUGCGUAGAUAUCUGGAGGAAUACCGGUGGCGAAGGCGGCAUCCUGGACCGACAUUGACGCUGAGGAGCGAAAGCUAGGGGAGCAAACGGG
rnacentral:rRNA from 1 species